CUACAAAGGAAUUGACGGGGCCCGGCACAAGCGGUGGAGCAUGUGGUUUAAUUCGACGCAACGCGAAGAACCUUACCAGGGCUUGACAUCCCCUGACCGCGUAUGAAAGUACGUUUUCACCCUCGGGUGACAGGGAGACAGGUGGUGCAUGGUUGUCGUCAGCUCGUGUCGUGAGAUGUUGGGUUAAGUCCUGCAACGAGCGCAACCCCUACGUUUAGUUGCUAACGCGUGAAGGCGAGCACUCUAGACGAACUGCCGUUGACAAAACGGAGGAAGGUGGGGAUGACGUCAAAUCAUCAUGCCCCUUAUGUUCUGGGCUACACACGUGCUACAAUGGCCGGUACAGACGGACGCAAAGCCGCGAGGCGGAGCAAAUCCGAAAAAGCCGGUCUCAGUUCGGAUUGCAGGCUGCAAUUCGCCUGCAUGAAGUCGGAAUCGCUAGUAAUCGCAGGUCAGCAUACUGCGGUGAAUACGUUCCCGGGCCUU
rnacentral:rRNA from 1 species